rnacentral:lncRNA from 1 species
AGAGCAUUCCCGAAUCUGCGGGGCUCACUUUAUUACAGGUAAGUUAUUUCUGACACUUGUCAUGACCAUCGUGCUGUAAACUGGCCGUGUCAAACGCAGGCCGGCCUUCGAAGUUUGUGAACCACCCGGACUAUGUACCGACAGUGUUCACGUACAGCAAGACUCCGGGCGAGGCUGCUGUACGGCGGCACAGUCGUCGCGUGAAGAGACAAAAAGACUGCGAACGAGCUGCCAACACGGGUUCCCACAAGGAAAACAGCCUGAUUAGUGAAUCUACAGACAGUCCAGUCAGUCAAGAGCAGCAUGUUGACGCAGGAAUGGAAUGUCCAGAGCAUGAUGCUACACCUCCAGGAGCAUUACUGCCAGUCCAACCACCAGGGAAUGGUGA